rnacentral:rRNA from 1 species
AACGCUGGCGGCGCGCUUAACACAUGCAAGUCGAACGAGAAAGGGAGCAAUCCUGAGUAAAGUGGCGUACUGGUGAGUAACACGUGGAUAUCUACCUCUUGGUGGGGAAUAACCUGGGGAAACCUGGGCUAAUACCGCAUAAGUUCGUGAGAAGAAAGGCGCAAGUCGCCGAGAGAGGAGUCCGCGGUCGAUUAGGUAGUUGGCGGGGUAAGAGCCCACCAAGCCAAAGAUCGAUAGCCGGCCUGAGAGGGCACACGGCCACACUGGCACUGAAACACGGGCCAGACUCCUACGGGAGGCAGCAGUGGGGAAUCUUGCACAAUGGGGGAAACCCUGAUGCAGCGACGCCGCGUGAGCGAUGAAGCCCUUCGGGGUGUAAAGCUCUUUCGGCAGGAACGAUAAUGACGGUACCUGCAGAAG